rnacentral:rRNA from 1 species
GAUGAACGCUAGCGGGAGGCCUAACACAUGCAAGCCGAGCGGUAUUGUUUCUUCGGAAAUGAGAGAGCGGCGUACGAGUGCGGAACACGCGUGCAACCUGCCUUUAUCUAGAGGAUAGCCUUUCGAAAGGAAGAUUAAUACUCUAUAAUAUAUUAAUUGGCAUCAAUUGAUAUUGAAAACUCCGGUGGAUAGAGAUGGGCACGCGCAAGAUUAGCUAGUUGGUGAGGUAACGGCUCACCAAGGCGAUGAUCUUUAGGGGGCCUGAGAGGGUGAUCCACCACACUGGAACUGAGACACGGACCAGACUCCUACGGGAGGCAGCAGUGAGGAAGAUUGGGCAAUGGGUGCAAGCCUGAACCAGCCAUCCCGCGUGAAGGAUUAAGGUCCUAUGGAUUGUAAACUUCUUUUGUAUAGGGAUAAACCUACCCUCGUGAGGGUAGCUGAAGGUACUAUACGAAUAAGCACCGGCUAACUCCGUGCCAGCAGCCGCAGUAACAC